rnacentral:rRNA from 1 species
GUGGGGAAUUUUGGACAAUGGGCGCAAGCCUGAUCCAGCCAUGCCGCGUGAGUGAAGAAGGCCUUCGGGUUGUAAAGCUCUUUCGCAAGGAAAGAAAACUUACAUGUAAAUAAUGUGUGAGGUUGACGGUACCUUGAUAAGAAGCACCGGCUAACUACGUGCCAGCAGCCGCGGUAAUACGUAGGGUGCAAGCGUUAAUCGGAAUUACUGGGCGUAAAGCGAGCGCAGGCGGUUUUGUAAGUCAGAUGUGAAAGCCCCGGGCUCAACCUGGGAACUGCGUUUGAAACUACAAGGCUAGAGUAUGGGAGAGGGGGGUAGAAUUCCACGUGUAGCAGUGAAAUGCGUAGAGAUGUGGAGGAAUACCAAUGGCGAAGGCAGCCCCCUGGCCUAAUACUGACGCUCAGGCUCGAAAGCGUGGGGAGCAAACAGGA